GCGAUUGUUCCCAAAAGACCGUGCCAACGAACUUCCGACUAAUUCUCCGAUCGCCGACCGGCCGGCGUAUUUGUCUCCUUUCUCCGAUCAAUUCAAGGUUUUGUGAACUUUGAGAAGGGGCAGAAUGAGUCAGGUUUUCGAAGGAUAUGAAAGACAGUACUGUGAGCUUUCAGCUAUUUUAACGAAGAAAUGCAACUCAGCUACUAUCCUAGAUGGAGAACAGAAGAAACAGAAACUGUCUGAAAUAAAAGCUGGCCUAGAUGAUGCUGAAGCAUUGAUUCGCAAAAUGGACCUAGAAGCUCGGAGUUUACCUCCAAAUGUUAAAGCCACACUUCUUGCCAAGUUGAGAGAAUAUAAGAGUGAUCUGAACAACUUAAAAACUGAAGUGAAAAGAAUCACAUCAGGAAAUGUAAACCAAGCUGCAAGGGAUGAAUUGUUGGAAUCGGGAAUGGCAGAUGCUAACAUGGUGUCUGCUGAUCAAAGGCAAAGGUUGAUGAUGUCAACAGAGAGAUUGAACCGUUCAAGCGACAGGAUCAGGGACAGUCGAAAGACAAUGCUAGAAACCGAGGAUCUGGGGGUCUCAAUUCUUCAAGAUUUGCAUCAACAACGUCAGUCUCUUCUGCAUGCACAUGACACGCUUCAUGGAGUGGAUGAUAAUAUUAGCAGGAGCAAGAAGAUUUUGACUACAAUGUCAAGAAGGAUGAGCAGGAAUAAAUGGAUCAUUGGCACUAUCAUUGUUGUCUUGGUCCUGGCUAUACUAUUAGUUCUUUACUUCAAGCUCGCCCAUUAGCACAAUGGAUGGUUUUCAGGAUUUCUGCCGCUUCUCUUUUGUUAUAGCAAAACAUUUAUCUUUGGACACACUGCUUCUGAUUUCACAGUUAGUUGCCUCAUUUGCGGUCCGUGUGGUGUGGUUUGGUAGUGUGCUUCUUAUACUGGCAAUUUUCAUAAUAUUAAUUCCCAUGUUUGUCUAUUACUAUGUUUGAAUUUGGUGAUCCUUGUCCAAAAUGAGUAAAAUGUAUU
rnacentral:misc_RNA from 1 species